UAAGCACUUUAGUGUAUUGUCUCCUUAAUCCUCACAGCAGUCCCAUGUGGAAUGCCCUUUUUACAGAAAGCACACUGAGGCACUGGAAUAACCAGGCAAGAGGAGUUCUCUUUUCCACAGACUUGGAAUCAAAUAUGAAAGACUAGGACGUCAGAAAGAUAUCUUCUCCACAAGGGAUAAUUGACAAUAGGCCCCCACGGAAGUAUUCUCUGCAUUUCUGCAAAAAUUUAGGAAACAUUAGGUUUGACACCAUCAUCAUGUUUGCCAAGGCAGCAAAAAAUCCCAGCCGGCACAACUGCAAAUGUGAUGAAGUGGAGCAGCGAGGACAGCGUGGAAUGACUGAUUGUUUCGGAUGCUUCCAGCAAGUUUCCAAUGUUGGAGUAUUCCAUCGUCUUUGAAGUGGGAGAAGCAGGGAGUGGCUACUUUGGAGACGUCAUGGUCACGUUGGCAGGGUUUCCUUUUCUUUCUUUUCUACCUUUGCUCUCUGCCCUUAAGUGAUUCCUUGAAGUUAGAAUUAUUUUGAAAUAUUUUCA